rnacentral:rRNA from 1 species
GCGGGGCGUCCGAAGUCGCUGAGCAAACCGCAAGGGGGCAGGCGACCACGGUAGGAUCAGCGACUGGGGUGAAGUCGUAACAAGGUAGCCGUAGGUGAACCUGCAGAAGGAUCA